CCCUUAGAUGUCCUGGGCCGCACGCGUGCUACACUGACGCAUACAGCGAGCACUUUCCAGUUCCGAGAGGCUACUGGUAAUCAUCAAUAUGCGUCGUGGUGGGGAUAGAUCUUUGGAAUUCUGGAUCUUGAACGAGGAAUGCCUAGUAAUCGCAGGUCAUUAGCCUGCGAUGAUUAAGUCCCUGCCCUUUGUACACACCGCCCGUCGCUACUACCGAUUUCGAGUGGUCAGGUGAAUCUUUCGGACUGUGGGCGCCCUUGAGGUGUUCGCGGAAAGUCAGGUAAAUCUUAUCACUUAGAGGAAGUAAAAGUCGUAACA
rnacentral:rRNA from 1 species